AUGAACGCUGGCGGCGUGCCUAACACAUGCAAGUCGAACGGAGUCGUUUUGGAAAUCUCUUCGGAGAUGGAAUUCUCGACUUAGUGGCGGACGGGUGAGUAACGCGUGAGCAAUCUGCCUUUAAGAGGGGGAUAACAGUCGGAAACGGCUGCUAAUACCGCAUAAAGCAUUACAUUCGCAUGUUUUUGAUGCCAAAGGAGCAAUCCGCUUUUAGAUGAGCUCGCGUCUGAUUAGCUAGUUGGCGGGGUAACGCCCACCAAGGCGACGAUCAGUAGCCGGACUGAGAGGUUGAACGGCCACAUUGGGACUGAGACACGGCCCAGACUCCUACGGGAGGCAGCAGUGGGGAAUAUUGCGCAAUGGGGGAAACCCUGACGCAGCAACGCCGCGUGAUUGAAGAAGGCCUUCGGGUUGUAAAGAUCUUUAAUCAGGGACGAAACAAAUGACGGUACCUGAAGAAUAAGCGCCGGCUAACUACGUG
rnacentral:rRNA from 1 species